CAGUCGCCGCGGUAAUACGGAGGGUGCAAGCGUUAAUCGGAGUUACUGGGCGUAAAGCGUGCGUAGGCGGUUCGUUAAGUCUGUUGUGAAAGCCCCGGGCUCAACCUGGGAAUGGCAAUGGAUACUGGCGAGCUAGAGUGUGUCAGAGGAUGGUGGAAUUCCCGGUGUAGCGGUGAAAUGCGUAGAGAUCGGGAGGAACAUCAGUGGCGAAGGCGGCCAUCUGGGCCAAUACUGACGCUCAUGCACGAAAGCGUGGGGAGCAAACAGGAUUAGAUACCCCCGUAGUCCCUGUCUCUUAUAC
rnacentral:rRNA from 1 species